CACUGACUGAGUUUGUCGCCUGACAUGCCGACAUUGUUUUUUUUUUUUUUUUUUUUGACAAUGCAUGUGUUUUGAUUGUUUAUUCACUCUCUUUUCCUGUGGCCUGAUUGCUGGAUUUUUCUCUGGCUUUCCUAUUUACAUGUGGCACAGUGGCCAUUCCCAACACUGUGGCACAAUUACUUCAAAAUAUCAAGCUGUAAAUGAUCUCUGUAAGAGAAUCUGCUCCAUACUGAAAUGCAACGUGCAGUGUGCAUUUAGUCCCUGCUUGUUUGUCAUGUGGAGAGCCAACAAUGUGCUUUCUUCUGCACAAACUUUUAUUUUUGGACUACUUAAAAUAGUACUGCCUUUGCGAAAUGCAUAUUCUGUUGUAACAGCAGAGGCGACCAUAGUAUCAGACAUAUGGGGUACUAAGAAAGGGUGCACCAUGCAGAGACAGCCUGUCAAGUUCCAGCAACAAGCUUGCUCUAAAAGGAGCAUGUCAUGCAGCUGAAUUACACUCUGCUUCUAUGGUUGUAAUAAAAUGGACACGUCAAUCAUUUUGUCAAUCACAUCAAUCAUUCAGCUCAGGAGUUGCAGUUGCUCCCUAGGGACCAAGUCUUGCACCAACAUGCACCUGCACCUGGAUUUUGGAGAGAUGAAGUCCAAUCUGUCCCUGCUUUUAGGCUUCUGAGAGGAUCUCCAGGUCCCCGUCUGGCUGAAGCAUGCCGAAUCCAUAGCGGCUGGGGUUCACUGGUGGCAUGCUGCAGUCCGGGUCACACAGCUCCAGGUCCAGGUUAUGAGGGCCUGUUGUUACAAGCUGAUAAUUAAGCAGUUCUCUUGUGAGUUCACACAUUUCUGAAGAGAUACUGUUGAUGGGGUGAAGAAGGCAGGCAGCCAACCGUUGCCUCACUGAAAGGUGUGUUACACAGAAAUACUAUGACCCAGCAUAGGGGAUCAUUUCACACAAAGCUUACACAGCAGAAUAUUAUGAUGUCAUGGAAACAAAAGCCAUCGGUGUCAGGUUUCACCACUCACACACAGAGCUGGGACAUGAAAAUUCCAGAAACAAGAGGCCUAUUCAUUUAUCCACCGAAAAAGGGCGGAGGGCAUUCCAACCCUCAGCAGAGCCGGGAGGAGGCUCCGGGAGGGCCGACCUCCUCCAUUUAUGAAACACGCGCGUACUCCACCUGUCGGAGGCUGGCGCGACUCACCUGUGUGGUCCAGAGCUGCAGCAGCAUCGCCCUGGCCUGCGUCUCCUCGUCCGCCCCCUCCUCCCGCAGGAACUGACGGUAGCUCUGCUGCCAGCAGCCAGACUUCGCCUUCCCUGCCAACAGCCGGAGCCACAGCUGCUCACGCAGUUCACCGACCGUCUGCUUUUCACCUGGAAAAGGCAGAGGAGGAGGAGGAGAAGAUGGGGGUCAGACAGGUAUGAUCUGAAGGGUCGGAUACCACUCCUUUACACUGCUGGCUAUUCCCCUGGAUUGCGCUCCUUGCACAGCUGUGGCUGGUUGACCAGAGGAGAUGCCGUUGGGCAAUUAAGCAAGGAAUGCCCUGCUUGCACCCUCCUCAGGCAACAUUACAGAACAUCCAGCUGUCACCUGAAGGAACACCUCACCGAUGUUGGAAUGGGGGGUACAUCACUAGGCUUCAGUUGCACGCUCUGGAAGCUAUAGGCCUAUCUUUAGCUGCACACUUUUUCUAAGCUGGAAGGACAGACCAGCUCAGCCUUUACUCAUGAAUGAAGUAAAAUAUUUUUUAUUCAUAUAUGGAUAUUUUACAGUUGGAA